AUUGAACGCUGGCGGCAGGCCUAACACAUGCAAGUCGAGCGGAUGAAGGGAGCUUGCUCCUGGAUUCAGCGGCGGACGGGUGAGUAAUGCCUAGGAAUCUGCCUGGUCGUGGGGGAUAACGUCCGGACACGGGCGCUAAUACCGCAUACGUCCUGAGGGAGCAAGUGGGGGAUCUUCGGACCACACGCUAUCAGAUGAACCUAGGUCGGAUUAGCUAGUUGGUGGGGUAAAGGCCUACCAAGGCGACGAUCCGUAACUGGUCUGAGAGGAUGAUUAGUCACACUGGAACUGAGACACGGUCCAGACUCCUACGGGAGGCAGCAGUGGAGAAUAUUGGACGAUGGGCGAAAGCCUGAUCCAGCCAUGCCGCGUGUGUGAAGAAGGUCUUCGGAUUGUAAAGCACUUUAAGUUGGGAGGAAGGGCAGUAAGGUAAUACCUUGCUGUUUUGACGUUACCAACAGAAUAAGCACCGGCUAACUUCGUG
rnacentral:rRNA from 1 species